GAAAAUUCUACGCUAUCCUUGAAGAUCGUCCCCAAAUUAUUGGUUAAAUGCAGGAAAAAUUGAUGUAAUGAGGCACUGUGCAUUUGGACACAUUGCAAACAAGAUCAGGAGAAAGACCUGGGUUAGACAAAAGAAUGGAUAAGAUUAUCAAAGGAAGAUGUGUGAGAACAGAAGGGAGUAAAGCAAGGACCAAGACACCGUCCAUUUUUGAGAAACUGGUUGAGGAAGAGACUGAGAAGGAUUUCCGGAAAAACAAGAGAGAAACCAGGCAAGACAGGUGCCACAGGAGACAAGAGAGCAAAGAAUCUUUAAGAAGAAAAAAAGAGACUGUGCAAGUUGUUACAGAUCGUUAGAGCCACUGUGCUGGAGUCUUCCACUCAUAACCUCUCCGCUCAUUGCAGGCCGUCUUAUCACAUUCACAGUGGGAGAUUGCAGCCUCCAAACUGCUAUUCUGACUCUGAUCUUCAUGUAAAAGAAUGUUCUUCGGGCAUCCCACUGGAUCUACUGUAAAACAUCAGUCACGCAUCCAUAGGAUGGACUCAAAGACCUUCCUGAUGAGUGGUGGUGUGAAAUAUACUAAGAAUAAAAGGAUGCUUCAUUUUUAUGCGCUAGAGAUUUAAAACCACAUUAUACUUUGAUGCUAUCACCAGCCUUUUUCUUUAUGAUAUCUGCUGUUAUGUGAAUUGAGGGUUUUUUGAAGUUAAUAACUGAAAUACCCUCAGGGCUGUAAUCUCAUCCGUUGGAAGGACCCUGAGCAAACUCUUCCGUGGUGUGCGGUCAAUGUACCAUCAAUUUGGCCUUUUCAGUUCCAUGUGAAGCAAUGGUUGAACAUUGUGGUUUCUUUUUGUAACUUAGCCUUCCCCCACAACAUUCUUGAAGUAGAAGCAACAGCAACGAUGUUCUAGUUCAUUUGUGUCAACUAAUUUAAAAAAACAAAUUAAGGAGAGUAAGUUCAGACAUUUUGGAUAUUACUUUAAAUGUUAACAAUCAUUGGCAGGUUUUGAAUCCUUUUCUCUGCUUUGUGAACUGAGAUUAUGAUGAGUAUGUUCAUUUCAAAAACUAAAAAUGGGCUUGCCAUUACUUACUUUAACAAGCUGAGCUUUAAAGUUAUGCAAAAUAAAAG
rnacentral:lncRNA from 1 species